GCGAGAAUAGCUCAGCUGGUCGAGCACAACCUUGCCAAGGUUGGGGUCGCGAGUUCGAAUCUCGUUUCUCGCUCCA
rnacentral:tRNA from 1 species